rnacentral:rRNA from 1 species
CCUACGGGAGGCUGCAGUGAGGAAUAUUGGUCAAUGGACGAGAGUCUGAACCAGCCAAGUAGCGUGAAGGAUGACUGCCCUAUGGGUUGUAAACUUCUUUUAUAUGGGAAUAAAACGUUCCACGUGUGGGAUUUUGUAUGUACCAUAUGAAUAAGGAUCGGCUAACUCCGUGCCAGCAGCCGCGGUAAUACGGAGGAUCCGAGCGUUAUCCGGAUUUAUUGGGUUUAAAGGGAGCGUAGGUGGAUUGUUAAGUCAGUUGUGAAAGUUUGCGGCUCAACCGUAAAAUUGCAGUUGAAACUGGCAGUCUUGAGUACAGUAGAGGUGGGCGGAAUUCGGGGUGUAGCGGUGAAAUGCUUAGAUAUCACGAAGAACUCCGAUUGCGAAGGCAGUUCACUGGACUGCAACUGACACUGAGGCUCGAAAGUGUGGGUAUCAAACAGGAUUAGAUACCCUGGUAGUC